GUUUGCCUCAGGAAACUGAGCUCCUCUGGAUUCGCCACCAUGGCCUGGGCCCUUCUGCUCCUCACGCUGCUCACUUACUGCUCAGGGGUCAGUUCGCAGCCCGUGGUGACUCAGGAGCCCUCGAUGUCGGUGGCCCCAGGAGGGGCUGUCACUCUGUCCUGCAGCCUGAGCACUGGAGCCGUCACCACCAGCAACUAUCCAGCCUGGUACCAGCAGAAACCUGGCUCUGCUCCGAAACUGAUUAUAUACAACACUAACAACAGACCCUCCGGGAUCCCUGCCCGGUUCUCGGGGUCCAUCUCCGGUAACAACGCUGCCCUGACCAUCACCGGUGUCCAGGCAGAAGACGAGGCUGACUAUUACUGUCUUGUAUGGACUGGUAGUGCGAAUCACAGUGAUCCAGCCAGAUGGGGAACUGAGACAAAAACCUCCCUUGCCUUCAUGUCCUGCUCCAGCCAGUGCUUUGCAUGAGCUGCACAGUUUGGUUCCUGCCCGCAAUCGAUGAGACAACGAUCGCUCCUCCUUAGACAUUUCAGCCUCCCCUUGCUAUCAGUGCGGGGGCACUGCUCC